UAAAGUUGUUGCGGUUAAAAAGCUCGUAGUCGGAGGUGUGUCUCAGACGGUCGGUUCGCCGCUCGCGGUGCUCAACUGGCCGGUCCGGACGUCCUGCCGGUGGGGCUGUAAAAGGCUCCGUUAUCCUUCUUUGGUCCUCUUCAUUGAGUGCCUUGGUGGGCCGGCACGUUUACUUUGAACAAAUUAGAGUGCUCAAAGCAGGCCGUUGGUCGCCUGAAUACUGUGUGCAUGGAAUAAUAGAAUAGGACCUCGGUUCCAUUUUGUUGGUUUUCAGAACUCGAGGUAAUGAUUAAUAGGGACGGACGGGGGCAUUCGUAUUGCGACGUUAGAGGUGAAAUUCUUGGAUCGUCGCAAGACGAACCGAUGCGAAAGCAUUUGCCAAGAACGUUUUCGUUGAUCAAGAACGAAAGUUAGAGGUUCGAAGGCGAUCAGAUACCGCCCUAGUUCUAACCAUAAACGAUGCCAGCUAGCCAUCCGCCGAAGUUCCUUAUAUGACUCGGCGGGCAGCUUCCGGGAAACCAAAGCUCUUGGGUUCCGGGGGAAGUAUGGUUGCAAAGCU
rnacentral:rRNA from 1 species